UCGUGCUGGACGGGGAGUUAGCGGUGCCCUGUAACCCGCAAUCCGCUGCAGCGGGGUCGAAGCUCGGUCGAGGGUUCGUUUCUUUGAGGACGGCUGUCGGGCCCGGUGGUGUUGAGGAUCGGGUCCUGCGCAACAGAACCUCCUGAAUCGUGUCAGGUCCGGAAGGAAGCAGCACUAAGGGAAUCGUUUUGUGUGCCGCAGGGUUGCCUGGUCGGAGCCGCCGGCGACGGUACGCUCGGAGUUCGGAUUCGGAGCCGAUCGCACGA
rnacentral:SRP_RNA from 1 species